rnacentral:rRNA from 1 species
GAUGAACGCUGGCGGCGUGCCUAAUACAUGCAAGUCGAGCGAAUGGAUUGAGAGCUUGCUCUUAUGAAGUUAGCGGCGGACGGGUGAGUAACACGUGGGUAACCUGCCCAUAAGACUGGGAUAACUCCGGGAAACCGGGGCUAAUACCGGAUAACAUUUUGAACCGCAUGGUUCGAAAUUGAAAGGCGGCUUCGGCUGUCACUUAUGGAUGGACCCGCGUCGCAGUAGCUAGUUGGUGAGGUAACGGCGCACCAAGGCAACGAUGCGUAGCCGACCUGAGAGGGUGAUCGGCCACACUGGGACUGAGACACGGCCCAGACUCCUACGGGAGGCAGCAGUAGGGAAUCUUCCGCAAUGGACGAAAGUCUGACGGAGCAACGCCGCGUGAGUGAUGAAGGCUUUCGGGUCGUAAAACUCCGUUGUUAGGGAAGAACAAGUGCUAGUUGAAUAAGCUGGCACCUUGACGGUACCUAACCAGAAAGCCACGGCUAACUACGUGCCAGCCGCCGCAGUAA